rnacentral:rRNA from 1 species
CAGCCGCCGCGGGAAUACGUAUGUCACGAGCGUUGUCCGGAUUUAUUGGGCGUAAAGCGAGCGCAGGCGGUUAGAUAAGUCUGAAGUUAAAGGCUGUGGCUUAACCAUAGUACGCUUUGGAAACUGUUUAACUUGAGUGCAAGAGGGGAGAGUGGAACUCCACGUGUAGCGGUGAAAUGCGUAGAGAUGAGGAGGAACACAGCGGCGAAGGCGACCCUCUGGUCUGUAACUGACGCUGAGGAGCGAAAGCGUGGGGAGCGAACAGGAUUAGAUACCCCAGUAGUUCCUGUCUCUUAUACAC